rnacentral:lncRNA from 1 species
GCUAGCUUAGGCCAACACCCGCUUCUGAACCAGGAACCAUCACCCUGGGUGCCUCUGUGAAUUCCUGGAAAGUUGUGUGACCUUGUACCAUCCACAGCAACCCGUUGGUAAGCAUGAAGUAAAUUUAGUUGAUUAUGGCUAUCUUGAAAACCACAAAGGAAAGAAACAAAAUGGAACAGUAGUGAAUAAAGAAUCCCAGAGCAUGUUGCAUAUGAUAAAAGGGUGCUUGGAAGGGAAACAGGAAGAUUGAACAAGGUGACCUUCCUGUGCCCUGGAGCCAUCGGCACAACAAAGAAACACUGCAAAAGAGCCUGACCUCCAUUUACACAGGGCCAUCUUGGUGCGGCUAAUCUAAUCCAGCAGAGGAAGAAUUUUUAAAAAGAGCCCCAAGAGGACUAAUAAAAUGGCUUUGAAUUUCAUUAUGUUUGAGAGGGAGGCACUAAUUCAAUUAGCCACAAAAUGAGAAUUUUCCUACCCCCUCUCUUUGAAGCGGUUCUGAAGCUAGAUUGUGGCUGAGGAAAUGCCUGGGCUGCCUUCUGGAGAAAGACAGUCCUUGUCAAGUUUCAGGCCAACUUCUGAACCUUUACUUCUCUCCUCCGUAAAGUUAUUGGGAGUGAGAAUAGCAUAGCGAGUAAGAGCGUAG